rnacentral:tRNA from 2 species
GCCGCAGUGGUGGAAUGGUAGACACGAGGGACUUAAAAUCCCUUGGGCAUUAGCCCGUACUGGUUCGAUUCCAGUCUGCGGUACCA